AAAAAUAUANAUAUAUAGAGUCCGGCUAUUGUGCUUGUAAAAACACCAAGCACUUGGUGCUUGUAAAUUUUUAUCGUUAGAUCUACGCCUUCAAUCAUUUUUACCCGUUAGAUUAUACUAUUCAACCAACUAACCACUCAACCCUAGGGGGCCCACAUCAUCCUAACCGCACAUCCCUUAAUCCAAGGGCCGAAAACUUACAAGCACCAAUGACUUGGUACUUUUAAAAGCAUAGGAGCUCAAUUAUAUAUAUAUAUAUAUAUAUAAUUAGAUU
rnacentral:lncRNA from 1 species